rnacentral:rRNA from 1 species
CCUACGGGAGGCAGCAGUGAGGAAUAUUGGUCAAUGGACGAGAGUCUGAACCAGCCAAGUAGCGUGAAGGAUGACUGCCCUAUGGGUUGUAAACUUCUUUUAUAUGGGAAUAAAAUGUUCCACGUGUGGGAUUUUGUAUGUACCAUAUGAAUAAGGAUCGGCUAACUCCGUGCCAGCAGCCGCGGUAAUACGGAGGAUCCGAGCGUUAUCCGGAUUUAUUGGGUUUAAAGGGAGCGUAGGUGGAUUGUUAAGUCAGUUGUGAAAGUUUGCGGCUCAACCGUAAAAUUGCAGUUGAAACUGGCAGUCUUGAGUACAGUAGAGGUGAGUGGAAUUCGUGGUGUAGCGGUGAAAUGCUUAGAUAUCACGAAGAACUCCGAUUGCGAAGGCAGUUCACUGGACUGCAACUGACACUGAGGCUCGAAAGUGUGGGUAUCAAACAGGAUUAGAUACCCUAGUAGUC